AGUGAACGCUGGCGGUAGGCCUAACACAUGCAAGUCGAACGGCAGCACAGUAAGAGCUUGCUCUUACGGGUGGCGAGUGGCGGACGGGUGAGGAAUACAUCGGAAUCUACUUUUUCGUGGGGGAUAACGUAGGGAAACUUACGCUAAUACCGCAUAUGAUCUACGGGUGAAAGCAGGGGAUCUUCGGACCUUGCGCGAUUGAAUGAGCCGAUGUCGGAUUAGCUAGUUGGCGGGGUAAAGGCCCACCAAGGCGACGAUCCGUAGCUGGUCUGAGAGGAUGAUCAGCCACACUGGAACUGAGACACGGUCCAGACUCCUACGGGAGGCAGCAGUAGGGAAUAUUGGGCAAUGGGCGCAAGCCUGAUCCAGCCAUACCGCGUGAGUGAAGAAGGCCUUCGGGUUGUAAAGCCCUUUUAUUGGGAAAGAAAAGCAGCAGAUUAAUACCCCGCUGUUCUGACGGUACCCAAAGAAUAAGCACCGGCUAACUUCGUG
rnacentral:rRNA from 1 species